UGGGCCUAAAGCAUCCGUAGCCGGCUGUUCAAGUUUCCGGUUAAAUCCACACGCUUAACGUAUGGGCUGCCGGAAAUACUGUUCAGCUAGGGAGUGGGAGAGGUGGACGGUACUCGGUAGGAAGGGGUAAAAUCCUUUGAUCUAUUGAUGACCACCUGUGGCGAAGGCGGUCCACCAGAACACGUUCGACGGUGAGGGAUGAAAGCUGGGGGAGCAAACCGGAUUAGAUACCCGGGUAGUCCCAGCUGUAAACGAUGCAGACUCGGUGAUGCAUUGGCUUGUGGCCAGUGCAGUGCCGCAGGGAAGCCGUUAAGUUUGCCGCCUGGGAAGUACGUACGCAAGUAUGAAACUUAAAGGAAUUGGCGGGGGAGCACAA
rnacentral:rRNA from 2 species